rnacentral:rRNA from 1 species
GAUGAACGCUAGCGGCAGGCUUAAUACAUGCAAGUCGAGGGGCAGCACGAAUAGCAAUAUUUGGUGGCGACCGGCGCACGGGUGCGUAACACGUAUACAACCUACCUAUAACAGGGGGAUAGCCUUUCGAAAGAGAGAUUAAUACUCCGUAAUAAAUUUGAUGGCAUCAUUAGAUUUUGAAAGCUCCGGCGGUUAUAGAUGGGUAUGCGUCUGAUUAGGUAGGUGGUGUGGUAACGGCCCACCAAGGCGACGAUCAGUAGGGGAUCUGGGAGGACUAACCCCCACACUGGUACUGAGACACGGACCAGACUCCUACGGGAGGCAGCAGUAAGGAAUAUUGGUAAAUGGAGGCAACUCUGAACCAGCCAUGCCGCGUGCAGGAUGACGGCCCUAUGGGUUGUAAACUGCUUUUGUACCAGAGAAAACCCCAGUACGUGUACUGGGUUGAUAGUAUGGUAAGAAUAAGCAUCGGCUAACUUCGUGCCAGCCGCCGCAGUAA